GACGAACGCUGGCGGCGUGCUUAACACAUGCAAGUCGAACGGAAAGGCCCUGCUUGCAGGGUACUCGAGUUGCGAACGGGUGAGUAACACGUGGGUGAUCUGCCCUGCACUUCGGGAUAAGCUUGGGAAACUGGGUCUAAUACCGGAUAGGAACCAUCUUUAGUGUGGUGGUUGGAAAGUUUUUUCGGUGUAGGAUGAGCUCGCGGCCUAUCAGCUUGUUGGUGGGGUAAUGGCCUACCAUGGCGGCGACGGGUAGCCGGCCUGAGAGGGUGUACGGCCAGAUUGGAAUUGAGAGACAGGCAAGACUACGACGGGAGGCAGCAGUGGGGAAUAUUGGACAAUGGACGCAAGCGUGAGGGAGCGACGCCGUCUGGGGGAUGAAGGCCUUCGGGUUGUAAACUCAUAUCGCUAAGGACGAAGCUUUGUUGUGACGGUACCUAGAUAAGAAGCAACGGCUAACUACGUG
rnacentral:rRNA from 1 species